CUCCAAACCGACGCCUGAAGGCGUCUCCCCAUGUCAUAUAUAUACUGUAAACAUGAUCAAUAAAGGAUGCUGUUGAAUCAUUUGUUGUCUCUUCGAUUGUCUCUCUCGAUUGUCUAUCGAUUAGUUCCAAUACGUUAUCAGCAUGCUCCUAGCCAAGAGCGAUUUGGCCGAGAGAAAGCAACCGGAGUUGGUGUCCUCGAUGACUGAAGCGCGCGAUGCAGCCCUCGCGCCGUCGUCUCCGGCCGCAACAGGAAGUGAACGAGAGAAUGAAGAACAAGGGCAUUGGCAUACGUUGAUCCAAAUUUCUCUUUAUAGAACGUGAAUCAACAAAAGGUACGAUGCCUCACUUCAUUACCAUCUUCGCUGGACUGGUGGUGGCGCUCAUCGCCAUCUUGCCAUCAGCGUCUGGCCUCGACCCCGCGCUAGACUGGGCGACCGGAACCACCGGCUUCGCCUCCCGCGAUGGAAACGCGCAUCCGCGCAGAUCGGCGGCGCCGGCCCUCUAUAGGGUCGCCCUCCGGCAUGCGCGUCAUGAGCGGCUCCUCCGACGCCGCAGUCGUCGAUGUUGAUGCAGUCGCGCCAGGCGCCCCCGCCACCCGGCCGCGCCCGCGCCACACCCGUGGCCGGGCCCCUGCGCCAGGCCCUGGCCGCCCUCGCGCGCGCCCGCCCUGUGCCAGGCCUCGCCAGGCCCGCGCCGCGACGGCGCCCUCGCCGCACACAGGCACUCGUCGGCGCGUCGUGGCCUCCGCCUUCACAGCGUCUAGCAGCCGCAGCCCGCCGUCGACUAGCCACACUGCCCGCAAGAGAACUUGGGGCCCUGCAGCGCUCGGGCCGUGCCUGGCAUCCGCCUCCCCGGCGACUCCUCUGACGAGGAAUAGCGCGGCUGGAAUUCCUCCCGUCGCCCGUGAUGCGGGCGACCGGCCGUAGGUGCCUCCGAGGAACAGCGCGGCUGGAGUCCCUCCGGUCUUGGUCAUGUGGAUUAGG
rnacentral:rRNA from 1 species